ACGGAAGGCAGCAGUGGGGAAUAUUGGGCAAUGGGGGCAACCCUGACCCAGCAACGCCGCGUGAAGGAAGAAGGCUUUCGGGUUGUAAACUUCUUUUACCAGGGACGAAGAAAGUGACGGUACCUGGAGAGAAAGCUACGGCUAACUACGUGCCAGCAGCCGCGGUAAUACGUAGGUAGCAAGCGUUGUCCGGAUUUACUGGGUGUAAAGGGCGUGUAGGCGGAGAUGCAAGUCAGGAGUGAAAUCUAUGGGCUUAACCCAUAAACUGCUUUUGAAACUGCAUCCCUUGAGUAUCGGAGAGGCAGGCGGAAUUCCUAGUGUAGCGGUGAAAUGCGUAGAUAUUAGGAGGAACACCAGUGGCGAAGGCGGCCUGCUGGACGACAACUGACGCUGAGGCGCGAAAGCGUGGGGAGCAAACAGGAUUAGAUACCCUGGUA
rnacentral:rRNA from 1 species